CCUCCGUUCUUCUGCCGUUUGUACUAUUGCACAAUUGUUGAAACCCUUAUGCAGCGACGCCGCGUGAGUGAAGAAGUAAUUCGUUAUGUAAAGCUCUAUCAGCAGGGAAGAAAAUGACGGUACCUGAGUAAGAAGCCCCGGCUAACUACGUGCCAGCAGCCGCGGUAAUACGUAGGGGGCAAGCGUUAUCCGGAUUUACUGGGUGUAAAGGGAGCGUAGACGGCAGUGCAAGUCUGGAGUGAAAGGCGGGGGCUCAACCCCCGGACUGCUCUGGAAACUGUACGGCUGGAGUGCAGGAGAGGUAAGUGGAAUUCCUAGUGUAGCGGUGAAAUGCGUAGAUAUUAGGAGGAACACCAGUGGCGAAGGCGGCUUACUGGACUGUAACUGACGUUGAGGCUCGAAAGCGUGGGGAGCAAACAGGAUUAGAUACCCUUGUAGUC
rnacentral:rRNA from 1 species